rnacentral:tRNA from 1 species
GGCGCCUUCGUCUAACGGUUAGGACACAGGCUUCUCAAGUCUGGAACACGGGUUCGAUUCCCGUAGGCGCUA